rnacentral:rRNA from 1 species
UACGUAGGGUGCAAGCGUUGUCCGGAAUUAUUGGGCGUAAAGAGCUCGUAGGCGGUUUGUCGCGUCUGCUGUGAAAUCUGGAGGCUCAACCUCCAGCCUGCAGUGGGUACGGGCAGACUAGAGUGCGGUAGGGGAGAUUGGAACUCCUGGUGUAGCGGUGAAAUGCGUAGAUAUCGAGAGGAACACCUGCGGCGAAGGCGGGUUGCUGGGCUGACACUGACGCUGAAGUGCGAAAGCUAGGGGAGCGAACGGG